rnacentral:rRNA from 1 species
AAUGAACGCUGGCGGCAUGCCUAACACAUGCAAGUCGAACGAAGUCCUUCGGGGCUUAGUGGCGCACGGGUGCGUAACGCGUGGGAAUCUGCCCCUUGGUUCGGAAUAACAGUUGGAAACGACUGCUAAUACCGGAUGAUGACGUAAGUCCAAAGAUUUAUCGCCGAGGGAUGAGCCCGCGUAGGAUUAGGUAGUUGGUGUGGUAAAGGCGCACCAAGCCGACGAUCCUUAGCUGGUCUGAGAGGAUGAUCAGCCACACUGGGACUGAGACACGGCCCAGACUCCUACGGGAGGCAGCAGUGGGGAAUAUUGGACAAUGGGCGAAAGCCUGAUCCAGCAAUGCCGCGUGAGUGAUGAAGGCCUUAGGGUUGUAAAGCUCUUUUACCCGGGAUGAUAAUGACAGUACCGGGAGAAUAAGCUCCGGCUAACUCCGUG